rnacentral:lncRNA from 1 species
GCAAAAUUGUUCGUAAAAUACUGGCAGAUGGACCUUGGUCAUCAAUUCUAAUAAUCUUAGAUCAACCUUUCUAAACUUAAAAGUAAAGUUCACGCACCCUUAUUGUUCAGAUUGUUAAAGAUUUUUGCAUUCGUCGACAUUUUCUUCGAUUAAAGUAGUAUUGAUCUGACAACCGCUGUGCAUGUAUACUUUAACGACCGGGCUAGUUUUUUUGUCAGUUUUUAGUAGUUACC